GGGAAUUAUUGGGCGUAAAGGGCUCGCAGGCGGUUUCUUAAGUCUGAUGUGAAAGCCCCCGGCUCAACCGGGGAGGGUCAUUGGAAACUGGGAAACUUGAGUGCAGAAGAGGAGAGUGGAAUUCCACGUGUAGCGGUGAAAUGCGUAGAGAUGUGGAGGAACACCAGUGGCGAAGGCGACUCUCUGGUCUGUAACUGACGCUGAGGAGCGAAAGCGUGGGGAGCGAACAGAAUUAGAUACCCUGGCAGUCCACGCCGUAAACGAUGAUUGCUAA
rnacentral:rRNA from 1 species